AGUACGAUUCGAACCACCUAACGAGGAACGAUCGGAGGGCAAGUCUGGUGCCAGCAGCCGCGGUAAUUCCAGCUCCAAUAGCGUACGUUAAAGUUGCUGCAGUUAAAAAGCUCGUAGUUGAACGUUCGGGUUCCGCGGGACGGGGCCGCCCCGCGAGGGACGGCGCCGCCCCGGGGCUCGUGAUAUCUCAUCUCGCCGCCCGUCGCGAGGCGGACGGAGGGAUGGAUGAGGUUACCUGGAAAAAAUCGGGGCGAUCUAGGCGGGCGAACCUCGCCAACGAACGAUCGGACAUGGGAUAACGGAAGAGGGCGUCGGCUCGACUUCGUCGGUUCCUCGGGCCGAGGCACGUACGGUGAAUAGGGACGGUCGGGGCCGCCCGUACCGGGUCGUGAGAGGUGAAAUUCUAGGAUCGACCCGAGACGAACCGCCGCGAAAGCAUUCGGCAAGGACGCUUUCAUUAAUACAAGAACGAAAGUACGGGGGAUCGAAGACGAUCAGAUA
rnacentral:rRNA from 1 species